UUCCACAACAAUUUUGGCGACAAGGAGGUGAUCUGCAACUUCACCUGCUGACCGCUCCUGAAGACAAGUGGUAAAUUGUGCACAGGGGAUCUGAAAUUGGGAUCUCAGGGAAACCACACUCCGAAGGAGCAGCUGGACCCGCCUAAGCUUGGACAAUCUAUCAAUAAGUGAUGAAAGAUAAGAAAAAUAAAUUGUUUAAAUUUAUAGAUAUAAAAUUACAAAAUUCCCUGUUGAGGAUACGCUCAGAGCGAGGUCUUCCUAAAGAGGGCCACAGCUGAGGUAGCUAGCAGGACUGAGUUGGGUUGAUAAGAGUGUUUUUAAGUGAGGUAUCCUUCGACAUGAUUGUUAAUUAGCCAGUUGCGCGCUACUAAAAGUCCAGAUCCGUGGUACUGGGUUGAUCACAGUAGGACUGGUGAGGUUAAUGUAUUGAAAGAGGAACUUGAGUGCAGGUGACUCCUUGUGAGGGCAUCUGGCUUGGUGAAGUUCAAAUAAUAACGUGUAAUGUUUUUAUGAAAUGUUUUGAUAAACCAAGUUAACAGGUAUGCCCCAGGUUACUAUUGUUAGAUAUUAUUGUGUUUGUUAUUCCCGGCACUUCUCCGGAGCUGGAGGUUAGAAUAUAAGAGGUAAGAUUGGAUUUUUGAGGAUCGUGUUACACAAUUAGAUAGAAGAAGCAGGUACUCUGUAGGUAGUUUUGUACAUUUGGAUAGACAUAAGAUAAUCCAUACCACAGUAAUCGCAGUAGGCAAUAUCCCAGUGUGGAGACAACACCCCGUUUUGAGACCACUAAUUAGGCAAUCAUUUUGAUAAUGGUAUGGGUUACCCUGUUCAUAUAGACAGGGUUUGAAAUCUAAAAACAGAGCUAACCGGUUUUUCCUCGUCUGUCUCAUCCCCUGUGUGUCGGUGUUUGUGUUUUCUGUGAGUGUGUAUGAGUGAAGUAGCAGAAACCAUGGGACCACACAGGAGCAAAGGACACGGAAUUCCAGGGGAUUUCGGACCAGUGCUGCCAGUGCCUGUGGCUGCGGUGGUCGUGUUGGGAAGAACAGGAGCACUAUAUCCCACCAAGACUGACUGGACGACCAUCAGAGAAUACACCAUGACGAAGGAUGAGAGCUUGGAAGGGUAUAGAUGGAGACUGGAAACCUGUUUCAGGCUGCACAGCGGCAUCAGACCUAAUGAAUUGAAAUAUGGAGCUCUGUUGAAGGACUCCCUGGUAAGGGGCCUGACACCAGACCUGGAGAAAGUGGUGAGAACCACCUGUAUCAGUUGGGAAACUGAACCCCUGGCCACUGUGGUACAACUUUGCAAACAUGCUGAGCGACAGCAACGUGCUCAGAAGGAAGAUUUUUUUUGUUUUUAAAGUGAAGCCUCAGAAAUUGCAAGCUGCCCAGUUAACAUUCUACCACUGGCAGGUGCCUGCUGGAGUUGGAGGUGGUGGAAGUGGAGGAAAAUCCAAACUUGGAAGUUGCUUCCCUAGUGGCAAGGCAGGCCAUUUCGCUGCACAAUGCAAUCAAGCCCAGCAGCCGAGGGGAAGAGCCAGGGGCGGAUCGAGAGGCAGAGGAGCCCCAAGGAGGGCAUGUACAAUCCUGGACAAGAACAGGAGGAAGAAUAUUGACAUGAUGAAGAGACAGGGACAGAUGAGGUAGAAUCGUCAGAGCAACCCGAGCAUUUGUUUAAAGAGUCACACCCUUACCAGAGUAGAGCCAACAGUGGAGGCUUGCGUCAAUGGCAAAGACGGCCCAUCUAACACCAGCUCAACUGCUCCAUUAUCAGAAUGUUCUUCUGACAAUGUCUCAUGUGACCCUGAAGAGGUGCACUGAGUUAAAUCUUGAUACUUUGUUGCCUACCGAAGACGAUGAAGAGCCGCACGGCUGUGUAGCUGAGAGGUCUACUUGGAUCCACGCCAGCCACAUCCGGAAGGUGCCUCACAGUUGCCAUAUGGGCAGUGACUCAAGGACAACCGGUCCUGGAAGAAGUACAAAAUGGUAUGGACUUGACUGAUGACCGCUCAGUCCCAUGGUGGGACUUAUAUAACAGCCACUCCAGCUCGACAGGAGUCCAGCAAACAAUGGCCGCUCCAGUACUGGAAGAAGCACAAGGUCUAUGCAUCCACUGGAUGAGCAUCACAGUAGGAAUCAUGAGGGAAACACCUGGUGGUCGCUGCUUAACUAUACAGUAAAGACUGAACUGAUGGUAGAAAAAUAUUUUCUGUUAUGUAUGUAGUUUGUUUCCACACUCAGCGAUCUCUCCAUUCUCACAGUAUUCAGUGGAGGUCAGCAUUAAUGACACUAUGUGAACUGCUGUUUGUCAAAUGAGAUCACAUGGGGUCAACCCUCACUAGAUAAAACACUGAGA